GAUGAACGCUGGCGGCGUGCCUAAUACAUGCAAGUCGAGCGACCGGACGAGAAGCUUGCUUCUCUGAUGUUAGCGGCGGACGGGUGAGUAACACGUGGAUAACCUACCUAUAAGACUGGGAUAACUUCGGGAAACCGGAGCUAAUACCGGAUAAUAUUUUGAACCGCAUGGUUCAAAAGUAAAAGACGGUCCUGCUGUCACUUAUAGAUGGAUCCGCGCUGCAUUAGCUAGUUGGUAAGGUAACGGCUUACCAAGGCAACGAUGCAUAGCCGACCUGAGAGGGUGAUCGGCCACACUGGAACUGAGACACGGUCCAGACUCCUACGGGAGGCAGCAGUAGGGAAUCUUCCGCAAUGGGCGAAAGCCUGACGGAGCAACGCCGCGUGAGUGAUGAAGGUCUUCGGAUCGUAAAACUCUGUUAUUAGGGAAGAACAUAUGUGUAAGUAACUGUGCACAGCUUGACGGUACCUAAUCAGAAAGCCACGGCUAACUACGUG
rnacentral:rRNA from 1 species